CCAGCCAGGUUUUAGCAGGCGUCUAGGAAAGAAGUAUGGGCAGCGGACUGGAACAGGCUAACAGGCUAACGCUUACGCUACGCUAACUUGGCCCCUCGGGAUUGUGGGACAGAGAGCCCCCAUGAGCUGUUCAUGCUGACCCGGCCUGCCUGCUGGGUGUGUGGGCCAGGUUGAUCAUGUGCACCACGAUCCUGAUCAUCUCGACCCUGUCAGUCAUUCUGCGCAGACGAUUCAACAACCGAGUCAAACCCCAUCCGGAUGAGCUGGGGGAGAAAGAGAUGGCAUACGUGCAGAGAGAACUGCAGCCCAUGGAGAAGUGAGGCUUCCCGUCCUGUCAGGCAUCAGUUCCAGGUCCAUUACUACAGUAAAGUUGGAUGUACGCCAGACCGACAUAGCCUUCUAAAACAUACACCUGUCAUCCUCUUCGGCCUCUAACGGAGUUCACCUGCAGUUUAUCCUCAGGCAGCAGCAACCAGUCGUGAACACACGGGGAAGGUGACCAGGCUGUAUGAAAGGAAAAGGAACAGAUGUGGGUCCAGGAUGUCGAAAAUGUCCUCGGUUCAAUGGCUAGGCAACUGUGUGCUUCCCUGGAUAAAUAUCCUCGCCACGAGCCUGGGGAUGGCUCAAACCACUUCUCCCCUUCCGUCCAAGACUGGUUUCCCUCCCGUCAUCCAGCCCUUACUUACAGACAGCUGUAGGUCCUCUACACCCACAGACUGAAGAGCCAUGGAACAUAUUGCUCAGCAGCUAAAAUGGACAAUGGCAGAACGAAGCCUUCAUUAUUGAUUGAUUUGAAAUGUUUAUUGGUGUGAAUCAUCUAGAAACCACCAUAGGUAGUGCUACCACAGAGGAGGAGUCAAAGAUAUUCAGUUAUAUACCAGAGCUCAUGAAAAUACAUUUCUACCCUUGUCUGAAUCUCUCAUUUCGGGGUAUGCAUUGAAAGCAAAGAGGAACAGAGGGGAUGCAACCGUUCCAAAGCAUGAUGUGUACUCAUCUAUGAUAAGUUGCUGUUUGACAUUCUGGAGAGGUGUAAUCAUAUAAAGACACAGAUGUCCUCCAAGAGUCACACUCUAAUAAAGGAUGAUGAUAAGUCAAACAGAGUCCAGAGUUUACAGUCUGACCUUCUCUGGUCCAAGAGGCUAGAGACCAAUUCUUCCCUCACGCAACCCUCCCCUCAAUUAAAUAAACUUGUGAUUUAUCUGA